GGAUGUGAGAGUAAUCUGGCUUGACAUCUUGUCACCUCAUUGACUGCCAGGGUUGAUUCAGCUGAUCUGGCUGGCUAGGUGGGUGUCUGCUUCCUCCCGCAUCAAUCUAUGUAUGUCUCUACAGAAGCUUCUACUUGAUAGAAGAGGAUGACCUGCCCCUAUUGAGGAGGACUGUUUUCAGUCAAGAGUCAGCGAGUAGCUGCGCUCCCCUACUAGAAGCUUCAAAAAGCUUUCAAAGAGGUGAUAGGUCUUGAGGGAGCUUGUAGGUGAGUGCAAAGACUUAGGCUUUUUCUCUGAGUAGAAUUAGAAGGCUUU
rnacentral:snRNA from 1 species